UACGUAGGGGGCAAGCGUUGUCCGGAUUUAUUGGGCGUAAAGAGCGUGUAGGCGGCCGUACAGGUCAGCUGUGAAAACUCGAGGCUCAACCUCGAGACGUCGGUUGAAACCGUACGGCUAGAGUCCGGAAGAGGAGAGUGGAAUUCCCGGUGUAGCGGUGAAAUGCGCAGAUAUCGGGAAGAACACCCGUGGCGAAGGCGGUGGUCUGGGCCGGCACUGACGCUGAGGAGCGAAAGCGUGGGGAGCGAACAGG
rnacentral:rRNA from 1 species